GUUCUAUUUGAUGAGCAUCUAGACAGCUUCAAAACGCCAGUUCUGCUUUAGAAAAUUCAUGACAGAAGAAGCUGAUAAAAAAAUCUGAGC